GAUGAACGCUGGCGGCGUGCCUAAUACAUGCAAGUCGAGCGAACAGACGAGGAGCUUGCUCCUCUGACGUUAGCGGCGGACGGGUGAGUAACACGUGGAUAACCUACCUAUAAGACUGGGAUAACUUCGGGAAUCCGGAGCUAAUACCGGAUAAUAUAUUGAACCGCAUGGUUCAAUAGUGAAAGACGGUUUUGCUGUCACUUAUAGAUGGAUCCGCGCCGCAUUAGCUAGUUGGUAAGGUAACGGCUUACCAAGGCAACGAUGCGUAGCCGACCUGAGAGGGUGAUCGGCCACACUGGAACGGCGACACGGACCAGACUACUACGUGAGGCAGCAGUAGCGAAUGUUCCGCAAUGGGCGAAAGCCUGACGGAGCAACGCCACGUGAGUGAUGAAGGUCUACGGAUCGUAAAACUCUGUUAUUAGGGAAGAACAGAUGUGUAAGUAACUAUGCACGGCUUGACGGUACCUAAUCAGAAAGCCACGGCUAACUACGUG
rnacentral:rRNA from 1 species